rnacentral:lncRNA from 1 species
CAAACACCAGCCAGCAGGACACCAACCGACCCGAGCCAAAAGCCCAGCUUAGUCUAAAAUAAAUACAUCUCAAGCAGAGGAACCACUGACAGGCUCUGCUGCCCAUGAUGGGCCUCAGGACACACAAAGACAUCCAGCCUGCGGUGUGGGGUAUCAAGGAAUGAAUCUACAAUGAAUUGCCAACUGGCUAACCAAGUCCAUUAUGGUGACACCAUUCCCUCGGUUCUAACUUCCUGACUGCCGCCAUGUGUCCGCUGCCCUCCUCUGCUUUCAGAUCAUCGCACUGACAAACUCAAGACGCUGAAUCUGGGUUGUUUACCAAAACUGAGUACAAGUUAUAUCCUCAGGCUCGCUUCUCAACUUCCCUCCCUCAGGAGCAGCC